AACGAACGCUGGCGGUGCGUCUUAGGCAUGCAAGUCGAACGGUAGCAGCACUUCGGUGGCUGACGAGUGGCGAAAGGGUGAGUAACACGUAGGAAUCUACCCUCGGGUCUGGGAUAGCUGCUGGAAACGGCGGGUAAUACUGGAUAACAUCGGAGACGAUCAAAGGCGCUGUAAGGCGUCACCCGGGGAUGAGCCUGCGCCCCAUCAGCUAGUUGGCGGGGUAAAUGCCCACCAAGGCGAAGACGGGUAGCUGGUCUGAGAGGACGAUCAGCCACAAGGGAACUGAGACACGGUCCCUACUCCUACGGGAGGCAGCAGCCAAGAAUAUUCCGCAAUGUACGAAAGUGCGACGGAGCGACACCGCGUGGAGGAUGAAGGCAUUCGUGUUGUAAACUCCUUUUCUCUAGGAAGAAUAAGCGGGGUAGGAAAUGAUCUCGUGAUGACGGUACUAGAGGAAUAAGCCCCGGCUAAUUACGUGCCAGCAGCCGCGGUAAUACGUGAGGGGCGAGCGUUGUUCGGAAUUACUGGGCGUAAAGGGCAUGUAGGCGGCCUUUUAAGUGGAGUGUUAAAAACCGUGGCUCAACUACGGGGGUGCGCUCCAAACUGGGAGGCUUGAAUCUGGUAGAAGGUAGUAGAAUGGCCCGUGUAGCGGUGGAAUGCGUAGAUAUGGGUUAGAAUACCAAAGGCGAAGGCAGCUAUCUAUACCAAGAUUGACGCUGAGGUGCGAAAGCACGGGUAGCAACCAGGCUUAGAUACCCUGGUAGUCCGUGCCGUAAACGAUGUACACUAGGGAUCGUGGGGUUACCCGCGGUUCCGCAGCUAACGCAUGAAGUGUACCGCCUGGGGAGUACGGUCGCAAGAUUGAAACUCAAAGAAAUUGACGGGGGCCCGCACAAGCGGUGGAGCACGUGGAUUAAUUCGAUGGUAAGCGAAGAACCUUACCAGGGCUUGAAAUUGCACUGCUGUCUGCUGAAAGGUAGAUUUCUCUUCGGAGACGGUGUAACAGGUGUUGCAUGGCUGUCGUCAGCUCGUGCCGUGAGGUGUUGGGUUAAGUCCCGCAACGAGCGCAACCCCUAUUUUUAGUUGCUACAUUUAGUUGAGCACUCUAGAGAGACUGCCGGCGACAAGUCGGAGGAAGGAGGGGAUGACGUCAAGUCAUCAUGACCCUUAUGCCCUGGGCUUCACACAUGCUACAAUGGUGGGGACAAAGAGAUGCUAGGCCGCGAGGUUUCGCCAACCUCAAAAACCUCACCUCAAUAUGGAUUGGAGUCUGCAACUCGACUCCAUGAAACUGGAAUCGCUAGUAAUCGUGGGUCAGCAACACCACGGUGAAUACGUUCUCGGGCCUUGUACACACCGCCCGUCACACCACCCGAGUGGGUUUUUCUUGAAGCGGGUUACCCCAACCGUAAGGAGGGGGCUCGUAAGGGAGGGGCUCGUAAGGGGGGUG
rnacentral:rRNA from 1 species